CCGGCGAUGUCCGAAUGGGGAAACCCAGUGCAAUUCGUUGCACUAUCGUUAACUGAAUACAUAGGUUAACGAGGCGAACCGGGGGAACUGAAACAUCUAAGUACCCCGAGGAAAAGAAAUCAACCGAGAUUCCCCCAGUAGCGGCGAGCGAACGGGGAGCAGCCCAGAGUCUGAAUCAGCUUGUGUGUUAGUGGAACGGUCUGGAAAGUCCGACGGUACAGGGUGAUAGUCCCGUACACCAAAAUGCACAGGUUGUGAACUCGAAGAGUAGGGCGGGACACGUGGUAUCCUGUCUGAAUAUGGGGGGACCAUCCUCCAAGGCUAAAUACUCCUGACUGACCGAUAGUGAACCAGUACCGUGAGGGAAAGGCGAAAAGAACCCCGGCGAGGGGAGUGAAAAAGAACCUGAAACCGUGUACGUACAAGCAGUGGGAGCACCUUCGGGUGUGACUGCGUACCUUUUGUAUAAUGGGUCAGCGACUUAUAUUCUGUAGCAAGGUUAACCGUAUAGGGGAGCCGCAGGGAAACCGAGUCUUAACUGGGCGUUAAGUUGCAGGGUAUAGACCCGAAACCCGGUGAUCUAGCCAUGGGCAGGUUGAAGGUUGGGUAACACUAACUGGAGGACCGAACCGACUAAUGUUGAAAAAUUAGCGGAUGACUUGUGGCUGGGGGUGAAAGGCCAAUCAAACCGGGAGAUAGCUGGUUCUCCCCGAAAGCUAUUUAGGUAGCGCCUCGUGAAUUCAUCUUCGGGGGUAGAGCACUGUUUCGGCUAGGGGGUCAUCCCGACUUACCAACCCGAUGCAAACUACGAAUACCGAAGAAUGUUAUCACGGGAGACACACGGCGGGUGCUAACGUCCGUCGUGAAGAGGGAAACAACCCAGACCGCCAGCUAAGGUCCCAAAGUCAUGGUUAAGUGGGAAACGAUGUGGGAAGGCACAGACAGCCAGGAUGUUGGCUUAGAAGCAGCCAUCAUUUAAAGAAAGCGUAAUAGCUCACUGGUCGAGUCGGCCUGCGCGGAAGAUGUAACGGGGCUAAACCAUGCACCGAAGCUGCGGCAGCGACACUAUGUGUUGUUGGGUAGGGGAGCGUUCUGUAAGCCUGCGAAGGUGUGCUGUGAGGCAUGCUGGAGGUAUCAGAAGUGCGAAUGCUGACAUAAGUAACGAUAAAGCGGGUGAAAAGCCCGCUCGCCGGAAGACCAAGGGUUCCUGUCCAACGUUAAUCGGGGCAGGGUGAGUCGACCCCUAAGGCGAGGCCGAAAGGCGUAGUCGAUGGGAAACAGGUUAAUAUUCCUGUACUUGGUGUUACUGCGAAGGGGGGACGGAGAAGGCUAUGUUAGCCGGGCGACGGUUGUCCCGGUUUAAGCAUGUAGGCUGGUUAUCCAGGCAAAUCCGGAUAAUCAAGGCUGAGGUGUGAUGACGAGGCACUACGGUGCUGAAGUAACAAAUGCCCUGCUUCCAGGAAAAGCCUCUAAGCAUCAGGUAACAUUAAAUCGUACCCCAAACCGACACAGGUGGUCAGGUAGAGAAUACCAAGGCGCUUGAGAGAACUCGGGUGAAGGAACUAGGCAAAAUGGUGCCGUAACUUCGGGAGAAGGCACGCUGGUGUGUAGGUGAAGUCCCUGCGGAUGGAGCUGAGACCAGUCGAAGAUACCAGCUGGCUGCAACUGUUUAUUAAAAACACAGCACUGUGCAAACACGAAAGUGGACGUAUACGGUGUGACGCCUGCCCGGUGCCGGAAGGUUAAUUGAUGGGGUUAUCCGUAAGGAGAAGCUCUUGAUCGAAGCCCCGGUAAACGGCGGCCGUAACUAUAACGGUCCUAAGGUAGCGAAAUUCCUUGUCGGGUAAGUUCCGACCUGCACGAAUGGCGUAAUGAUGGCCAGGCUGUCUCCACCCGAGACUCAGUGAAAUUGAACUCGCUGUGAAGAUGCAGUGUACCCGCGGCAAGACGGAAAGACCCCGUGAACCUUUACUAUAGCUUGACACUGAACAUUGAGCCUUGAUGUGUAGGAUAGGUGGGAGGCUUUGAAGCGUGGACGCCAGUCUGCGUGGAGCCAACCUUGAAAUACCACCCUUUAAUGUUUGAUGUUCUAACGUUGGCCCCUGACCGGGGUUGCGGACAGUGUCUGGUGGGUAGUUUGACUGGGGCGGUCUCCUCCCAAAGCGUAACGGAGGAGCACGAAGGUUAGCUAAUCCUGGUCGGACAUCAGGAGGUUAGUGCAAUGGCAUAAGCUAGCUUGACUGCGAGCGUGACGGCGCGAGCAGGUGCGAAAGCAGGUCAUAGUGAUCCGGUGGUUCUGAAUGGAAGGGCCAUCGCUCAACGGAUAAAAGGUACUCCGGGGAUAACAGGCUGAUACCGCCCAAGAGUUCAUAUCGACGGCGGUGUUUGGCACCUCGAUGUCGGCUCAUCACAUCCUGGGGCUGAAGUAGGUCCCAAGGGUAUGGCUGUUCGCCAUUUAAAGUGGUACGCGAGCUGGGUUUAGAACGUCGUGAGACAGUUCGGUCCCUAUCUGCCGUGGGCGCUGGAGAAUUGAGGGGGGCUGCUCCUAGUACGAGAGGACCGGAGUGGACGCAUCACUGGUGUUCGGGUUGUCAUGCCAAUGGCACUGCCCGGUAGCUAAAUGCGGAAGAGAUAAGUGCUGAAAGCAUCUAAGCACGAAACUUGCCCCGAGAUGAGUUCUCCCUGAGACUUUAAGUCUCCUGAAGGAACGUUAAAGACGAUGACGUUGAUAGGCCGGGUGUGUAAGCGCAGCGAUGCGUUGAGCUAACCGGUACUAAUGAACCGUGAGGCUUAACCUUACAACGCCGAAG
rnacentral:rRNA from 1 species